rnacentral:tRNA from 1 species
AUUCAUAUAGUUUAAAAAACAUUUUAUUUUCAUUAAAAAGAUGAUUAUAAUAUAGAUGGUCUAUGAAUA